UACAGAGGGUGCAAGCGUUAAUCGGAUUUACUGGGCGUAAAGCGCGCGUAGGUGGUUUGAUCAGUCGGAUGUGAAAGCCCCGAGCUUAACCUGGGAAGUGCAUUCGAUACUGUCUGACUAGAGUUUAGUAGAGGAAGGUAGAAUUCCAGGUGUAGCGGUGAAAUGCGUAGAUAUCUGGAGGAAUACCAGUGGCGAAGGCGGCCUUCUGGACUAAAGCUGACACUGAGGUGCGAAAGCUUGGGUAGCAAACAGG
rnacentral:rRNA from 1 species